AUUGAACGCUGGCGGCAGGCUUAACACAUGCAAGUCGAGCGGGGGAAGGUAGCUUGCUACCGGACCUAGCGGCGGACGGGUGAGUAAUGCUUAGGAAUCUGCCUAUUAGUGGGGGACAACAUCUCGAAAGGGAUGCUAAUACCGCAUACGUCCUACGGGAGAAAGCAGGGGAUCUUCGGACCUUGCGCUAAUAGAUGAGCCUAAGUCGGAUUAGCUAGUUGGUGGGGUAAAGGCCUACCAAGGCGACGAUCUGUAGCGGAUCUGAGAGGAUGAUCCGCCACACUGGGACUGAGACACGGCCCAGACUCCUACGGGAGGCAGCAGUGGGGAAUAUUGGACAAUGGGGGGAACCCUGAUCCAGCCAUGCCGCGUGUGUGAAGAAGGCCUAUGGUUGUAAAGCACUUUAAGCGAGGAGGAGGCUACUUUAGUUAAUACCUAGAGAUAGUGGACGUUACUCGCAGAAUAAGCACCGGCUAACUCUGUGCCAGCAGCCGCCGUAA
rnacentral:rRNA from 1 species